UUUAGCUACCUCACGGGAAAGACCACUUGCGUGUCACCUGCCUGGGUCUGGCAGAAGGAGGGUCAAUUGAUUGGGUCGCCUUAGCAGUAAAUCUGGCCCAGUUGUUUCCACCUGAGAAAUCUGGAAAGAAUGCAAUGAAAAUGUCGGACUUCUCAAAGUUGCAGGACAAAUGAAGAACCGAAGAAUUUUCACUGAAGAGGGAAGAGCCCAAACACAAUCUGUUUGGUGUUUGAACAGACGUCAGUGUUACAGCCAUCAACGUACCUAAACUUUACAAAGCAUCUGGUAGAAAGAGAAGCACUGAAAUUGUCAGAGGAUCUACUCACUACAUCACUGUGGUGACCUGCAGAGAAGCAAUGCACAUGGACUUCCCAACAAUGUCAAGUAGCAGGUGACUACACAAGAUGGGGGAACGUCACCACAGCCAGCUCUCCAGACCCUCCACAGCCUGCUUUGUGUGAGGGCCACCAACUGGCUCAUAUCACCUUUCUAAUCAAGGCGAAGGACGAAGAAGCAAGAGCUGAAUUCUAAAGCUGAAAAAAAAAUUAGAGCAUACAUCACUUUGGAAAUGUGCUUGCUGACUCAGAGUGAUAUGGAGGUACAGCUAACAAUCAAAUUAAAUGCAGUUCUAGACAAGCUAACCAUACUCUAAAGCAAUCAGCAUGAUGUAUUUAUUCUCCAUUUCCUCUCUGUGGCUAGAGAUUCAAAGGAUAAAGUCAUUAAAAAUCUUUCAGAUGUUUGCUUUUUCUGGUGAAAUGAGAGCAUACCAGGUCUGGAAGGAGAAUGUUCUAGUUAACAGAACUUAUUAUUUAUACUUGAUGAAAAUAGUGAAAAAAGAAUCAAUCCAGUCCCUCAUCCAUAUGCAAGGAUCUUACAAUUGUUCAAAGGUGUAUAUUUGUACCACAAAUGAACCAAGGCCCCGU